GACGAACGCUGGCGGCGUGCUUAACACAUGCAAGUCGAACGGAAAGGCCCUGCUUUUGUGGGGUGCUCGAGUGGCGAACGGGUGAGUAACACGUGAGUAACCUGCCCUUGACUUUGGGAUAACUUCAGGAAACUGGGGCUAAUACCGGAUAGGAUCUCCUGCUGCAUGGUGGGGGUGGGAUAGUUUCGGCGGUUGGGGAUGGACUCGCGGCUUAUGAGCUUGUUGGUUGGGUAGUGGCUUACCAAGGCUUUGACGGGUAGCCGGGCUGGGCGGGGGACCUGACACAUUGGGACUGAGAUACGGCCCAGACUACUACGGGAGGCAGCAGUGCGGAAUAUUGCACAAUGGGAGGAAGGAUGAUGCAGUCCAGCCGCGUGGGGGAUGACGGGCAUCGGGUUGUAUACCGAUUCCCUCUUUCCCGAAGCGUGAGUGACGGUAAUGGGUAAAGAAGCACCGGCUAACUCCGUG
rnacentral:rRNA from 1 species